rnacentral:lncRNA from 1 species
CUUCUGAGGAAACUGGGUGCAGCAAUGAUGUGGCCACAACACCUUGUAGAUGUGGGAAGAUGUCCACGGUGGCCACAGUAAGAAGCCUUUUUGUGGUCUCUACCUUCUGAAAUAGUACAUGACGCAAGAAAAUGUCCAUGCUUGUCACGACAAAAACUACUAUUCCCUGGAAGUCUGUGGUACUUUUGAACUCUCUUAAAACUUUACCCUCCUUGAAGAAGGUUUCAGGAGAAAGAGGAGGCCCUGGAAACUCUUGAUAAUGCCCUCAGCACUGCUUCCAAGGAGCGCCAGUCAUAUAGACCAUCCCUGAGAGAAACAAGAGAAAACGGGAAAUUCUGACUUCUCUCUACUUCAGAACUAUGAGCUAUUUUAGUUGGCAUUUUUGCCCCCAUCCAACUUUUUUUGGCUUCGCUAUCUAAAACAAAUAAAUAAAACAGCUGAUGCUGUGAACUGUAAAGAAUCUGAGCUAAUUUGGUCCUCCCCUUUCUCCCAUCCAUUGCAGACUUCGGCCAUAGCGCGUGAGCAUUAGAAAACAACUUGUCGCCCACUCAACUCUCUUUCUCAUUCCUAAAGGAAAAUAUUUAUAUUACGCCACAGAACGGGUUUCCAUGACAGUGACGACUGUAACACUGUUGCCUUAGCAACCACUUGAGUCCAUCUUGAAUGAUCUGAAUCCCCUUCACAGACAAAUAAGGAAAAUCUGUCAAAAGUGCCAUUCCGCUGGUGGGAAGUCCUGGAAGACGGUUUUCUCGCGCCCUCGUUCUCCCUCCAGUCAUCAGAUUUCUUGUAGCAUGCCUACAGAGAACUCAGAUAGGACAUCAGGACAAGUGACAUCCUGGAGUGACAUGGAGCACGCCAGCAUUCACAGGGAGGUGCAUCUUCCCCCAUCACACGUGUGGGCACAGGUGAAAAGCACCGUCGGCAUCAGCGGCAGUGGUGCUAUCAGCACCGUAAGCACACACUGCAGACCAGGCCACUCCAACUCAACAUCUUUUACUGGAGAAGGUGCUCCUGCAGGCUGAUUAAAUCAAUAAAUGAGCCCUCUCAGGGAAGCAGCGACUUUUCUCCUGGAGGAAAUGUUUUCAAUGCAAUUCAUAUCCAUCUCUGGA